rnacentral:lncRNA from 1 species
GCGCACCCUCCCCAAUUGGAUGGGUAGAUGGAUACAUGGAUCGAUGUAUAUGGAAGUACAUAGAAGCUAUACAUCGAACAGCUGGUAGCAUAGUAGUUAGAAGUGCUGCCUUUGGACCCAAAGGUUACAGGCUCGGAGUCAAAAAUGUAAAUUAGUUGCACGCAGGACACCAGGAGUAAUGACGGAACUCAGUACAAGAUGCUCUGGAGGGUGAGGAAUGAGUUCACUAAAAGCUUUGGUUUGCACAGGUUUUAUGUAGCUUUUAAAAAUAAUUUAAAGUGUCACAAAUUGGGUAGCACCCAGUCACAUAUCAGGGACCAAAAGAUAUAAGUAUAAUUUUCUAAGGGCUACUACCAUUUGUGCCUGGUCCCAGUGGAAGGUGGCUGAGGAGACAUGGGAAGAAAGCUCGUUUUGUUGGCUUUGGUUUUACAGCUCUGUGUCUUUAAUUUAGAUUAGAUUUAGUUGCUGCUUUCUUCUGUUUUCUUGAGUUGUUGGCUCUUUUGUUAGUCUUGUUUUCACUCCUCAUGUUUUAUGGGAAAGAAUAAAAGAGCCACAGAUCCUCCUACAGUCAUUCCUUGCCUGGUCACCUCAUGAUCCUGGCAUGCCCAGCAUGUUACACUUCUUCACUUUUUGUUACACUUUUACACCUUCCAUGUGUGCAACUUUUCAUUCUUCACCCAAAGCAUAUAAAUCUUCUUGCUUCAACAAAGCUGUCCUUUCUUCAACCUGGAUCUGUCUUUUGCUUGGGCAGCACCGUUGCUAUAGAAGUAGUUGUGUUGUAGUUACUAAGAGUACUGAAUGUAACACGAGGUUGGUAGUGGAUUCCUUUCUUGCAUUCUCUGAGCCUGGACGUGAAUUUCAGUUCCUCUGAAUGGAAUAUACGAUGGAGAAAUAAGACGAUGUGUGCUCAACAUAUAGCAGGAUAUUACAGGACACAGAGCACAAUACUCCAGUGGAGCGCUUCCAGCAUGUGUUCACACAAUGCCUUGCCUGGAGUUCUCCAAGAGACAUGCCCCCAAAAGCCGGGAGCAAGAAAUGAAGCCCACAGUGAAGAUAUUACUGGGCACCCAACAACUGCUCUGAGCAAGAUGGCAGAGGACAGCAUAACAAGGAGGCAGGUUGACAGUCUGGAGUCUGAUAACAGCCAGCGAUGCAGUAACUUGUACCUGCGCAGCGACCUGAGCCGGCCACUGCUGGAUGACAUGGACAUUGACGUAAUGACCAACACUGAGAUUGCUGACCACAUUGGUAAACCUUCUAUAUCCCUCUGA